rnacentral:lncRNA from 1 species
CAAAGCAAUGAAAAACCUUGAGCUGUUCAAGGUCAACUGCCCCAGUGUAUCUUCAUUUCAGUUUUCUGGCUUGGAGCAUCUUUCUCAACUCACGGAAUUCUUGCGUAACUAAGGUUUCAAUGCCCAAACACUCAGCAAAGAAUGGUGGUAGCCAGCUUUGGUGAACACUCGAGCAACAAAAACCACAAACCUUGUUGUGAAGCUGGGGGAACCGCCACGUUCAUCUGGGGGGUCGACACUGUGUAAUGUUUAUGUACAUCUGUCAACAUAGGGGACUGGUUGAGUAGUAGUGCAGCUGUUGUUGGGCGAUCUCACCUCAAAUGUUGGGUUGCUUAUCUGCCCAGUAAGAUGUUGCUUGCUCCUUGACAUGCCGCACCAUUGUUUUGCUCGUUUCGUAGUAGUAUUAGUAUAUAUGCGGCAUAUUACAAUUAUAAGUCUGAAGCCAGCAAAAUCGAUCAUGCAUCUGUCCAGUGGGAAAAUAAAGGGACGUAGUUAAUUAAUAUACAUGGAACAUAUAUG